rnacentral:rRNA from 1 species
GACUAACUGCAGUCGAGAUUCCUACGGGAGGCAGCAGUGGGGAAUUUUCCGCAAUGGGCGAAAGCCUGACGGAGCAAUACCGCGUGAGGGAAGACGGCCUAUGGGUUGUAAACCUCUUUUUUCAGGGAGGAAUUUUGACGUGUACCUGAAGAAUAAGCAUCGGCUAACUCCGUGCCAGCAGCCGCGGUAAGACGGAGGAUGCAAGUGUUAUCCGGAAUCACUGGGCGUAAAGCGUCUGUAGGUGGUUAAGCAAGUCAACUGUUAAAUCUUGAGGCUCAACUUCAAAAUCGCAGUCGAAACUGUUUGACUAGAGUAUAGUAGGGGUAAAGGGAAUUUCCAGUGGAGCGGUGAAAUGCGUAGAUAUUGGAAAGAACACCGAUGGCGAAGGCACUUUACUGGGCUAUUACUGACACUCAGAGACGAAAGCUAGGGUAGCAAAUGGGAUUAGAUACCCCAGUAGUCCUAGCCGUAAACAAUGGAUACUAGAUGUUGAACAGAUCGACCUGUGCAGUAUCAAAGCUAACGCGUUAAGUAUCCCGCUUGGGAAGCAUGCUCGCAAGAGUGAAACUCAAAGGAAUUGACGG